GUGCUCCCUUUGGCAGCACGUAUACUAAAAUGGGAAUGAUACGAGAAGAUUAGCGUGGCCCCUGUGCAAGGAUCACACACAAAUUCGUGAAGCGUUCCGAAUUAAA